rnacentral:lncRNA from 1 species
UCAGAUCAAAAAUUUUAUAUAAAUAGAUUUAAUUAGAUUUAAUAUUUUAUAAAAAAUAUCAAUCAUAUCUCAUAUAAUCAUUUCUAAAAAAUUUUAUUAUGCAUGCAUAUAUUUUAGGCUUGCUCUAAUACCAACUGAAGGGAAAGAAACUAUUUCUCCUCUGAUUGCCCAGGUUGCAUUUAAAAAAUUUUUUAUUUAUCUACAUGAUUAAAGAUCAAAUCCUUACCUAAUUAGUAGUAAAACUAAAGAUUAAAUCUUAAUUUAUCUAGAUUAAAACUUCAAAGAGGUCUAGAUAUGUAGACUCUCUACUUCGCAUGCACACCAG